UACGUAGGGCGCAAGCGUUAUCCGGAAUUAUUGGGCGUAAAGAGCUCGUAGGCGGUUUGUCGCGUCUGCCGUGAAAGUCCGGGGCUCAACUCCGGAUCUGCGGUGGGUACGGGCAGACUAGAGUGCAGUAGGGGAGACUGGAAUUCCUGGUGUAGCGGUGAAAUGCGCAGAUAUCAGGAGGAACACCGGUGGCGAAGGCAGGUCUCUGGGCUGUAACUGACGCUGAGGAGCGAAAGCAUGGGGAGCGAACAGG
rnacentral:rRNA from 1 species